rnacentral:lncRNA from 13 species
AUAGUAAACAGAAUGAUAAAAUCGCUUACAUCAUUGCCUAAUUUAGACUUUAAGCGCAUUAAUAUCAAUUCCUUUUUUUUGUUAUCAAAUAUUCGAAUAUCAAAUCAAAUAUACUAAAAUAAUAUGUGCAAAGCGUAAACACGUAAUAUCAACAGUGUUUGGUAAAUCACUUACAAAACUAAUAGUGCGGGAUAUCGAUACGUACGAAGAGAACACUAAUCUCUACUUUAUAAUCACUACUUUAUCUUAUUGUGUAAAAUGGAGACACGUACAAUCGAGUCGUUUCCGCAGCACGGACCACGCUAGCGCUGCAUUUCCGCAAAAUAGUUGUCCGACUGUGGCCCUGGUUCCGGUCGAUCCCAAUCCAGCACAUCGUGCAAAGAAUGUUUUCUGCGAGGAAGAUGAAAACCAGAACCGGGAAGCGUCAAGCUACUAGUCAUGAUGUCACCAUUAUAAUAAUUAAUGACCAUGUUAUCAGUCCUAAAAAUUUUGCUCAAUUUAGAUGACAGAGUAACAAUCAAAUUUCCAACACGAUCUAAACACAACUAAUUACUUACUUUCCUGAAUGUGGUAUUUUGUACUUAUUUAGAAGCGCUCUGAUCUCAGUGAUAAAUUGCAUUUUAUGAGGAAACACGGGUAAUUCUUCCGGAAAUUGGCUAUUUUGCUUAUCUAUAUCUACAUAACAAAGGUUUGCCUGUAAUCAAACGUAAUUGGCAUUUUUCAUAAUUGUUAAAUACAAUUGCCUUAAUCUUUUAUAAAGAAUUAUUUUUCUUAAAUGUAAUAAAAAAAUAAAAUGUAAAAGAAAAGUUUACAAA